rnacentral:lncRNA from 1 species
CUACCAUCGCCCAUAUACUAGAUUGCUCUACUCUCUAAUCCCAUAUUAUCACCCAUUGUUAUCUUACCUUUAAUAUUGUUCUUAUUCAAUUCUAGCAUCUUUCCUAUUUACACCUACCUAUCUAACUAAGUUAAGUUAGAGCGUAGAUCAGUUCUCCCGUUUCCCUGUGGAUACGAUAAAACCUUUAACCGGGUAAAAGCUACAACGGUAUCCGUGCGCUUGCGGAUUUAUCUGUGUGCGUAUAAAUACCAUAGUACGCUCUAGUGCCAUGCUGGGGAUGACAACCUAGUAUUCAAGUGGUGUUAGCAAGUGUCAACAAGCAUUUUUGGCGUCAUUGCUGGGGAAACGGUUGCUGAGUUGACUACGAACAACCUUAAUCAUUUUCUAAAAAAUAAAAAAAUAUAUUUCCUUUUAUCCUUUGCCUCAUCUCUACUAUUCUUUCUUCUUAUCUAAUCCUUGAUUUCUGGUCUAUCAUGAAUGCAAACAUGUCUAUCUAUCAGUUUCAUAGACCUACGGGCACACAUCUCGAACCACC